GGGUGUCCCUGUCCUCUGUUCCACUUCCAUCCAUCUUCCAUUUCUUCUCUGCUCCACUGCAAAUCUUCCAAAUCCCAUGAAGACAGUAGGUAGGGGACAUGAUAAAGUUUGCCUUUGAUUCCAACCAGUCCCCAAGAAAGAAAAUUAAGUAAUAGAUAUACUUACUCUUCUAAUUACAAUUUGGGGAGUACUUACUUGACUUGGUCAUUCUUGACUUUGCCUUCCAGAUUGCAGUUUUCUUCAGUUAGGCACACACUCUUGACAAAUUUGUAGUAUAGGUGCAUCAAUCAUUUAUGGCUCUGUGCAGUCAACACUAAUCCAGAUCUAAACGGUGAUUAAUUAGCAGUAAUAAUCAACUGAGCAUCCAAAGAUGAUUCUCACUAAUGAUUAUUAUUAGACUUGGUUACAAUUUACAGUACUCCAUCUCAUUACAGUUAGUAAUUGCUACUCAUGCUGUGUGCAGUAGCUGUAGGAGUAGUAAUUAUUUCAUUUUUUUUCUCUGAAGAAAAAAACAACAAAAAAAAAGGUAGCUAGCCAUACGGAUUCGCAGAGCAAAGCCGGCGCCGGGGACAGCUCCAUGUACAGCUCGCCGGCGGCGAGCGAUCACGGCGGCAGCUNNN
rnacentral:lncRNA from 1 species